ACACACACACACACACACACACACACACACACACACACACACACACACACACACACACACACACACACACACACACACACACACACACACACACACAGGCUGAACGCGCUGGGGCUCCCUCCAGCUAUCAGCGUGGGUUUCCCCCUCCUUCUCCCUCCUCCUCCUUUUUUCUUCUCCCUCGCCGCCGCUCCGCCGUUGAGGGAAGGAAGGGAAGGAGGGAGAGAAAGAGAGAGAGAGGCAGAGGGUGAGAGAGCUCCCCUCUUCACAACUCUCCCCUGGAAGCCUCAGCUGCUGGCGAGACUGCGCGGUUACACGGGCAGCCUGCCUGCCUGCCUGCGCAACGGAAUGGCGGCGGUGUGCGGACGGUUCGUCUUGCGCCACAGCGGUCACGAACGGACCGAGACGGAAAGAGAGUCUGCGAGUGCACGGCGAGGCUCGAUUUGCCGGUGAAAGUCGCGGAAGAAACGGGAAACCGCUCCGUGUUUUUGAAGAGAGAGAGAGAGAGAGAGGGAGAGGGAAGAAGAAGGGGGAUGGGGGGAGCUUGGAAAAGCCACGGAUGCCGGAAAAGUGCGCUUUUAUUCGGUGCGUAAUGACACGACGCGUCUCUCCGGUGGUUGUACCGACGUGCUGUUGACGAGAAGAAGAGGAGGAGGGUGAAGGUGGGGGUGUGCGUGUGGGGGGGAUUCAACGUAUGAGGCUGAUGCCGGCGAAUACCGGGGACGGUUUCAUAUCCAGAUACUACAGCCGACACGGGAGCAGAGGCUACAGCCCCAUUGCGCGCAACACGGCGCACAUGGCACGCCCCCUCGCCUCCCUCCAGCUCCACACUGACGGGGAGGCGUUUGCUGGGGCGCCAUUUUCAAAAGCCUUCUUUGCAUAUGAGAUGUGUUUUUGCUGCAGGAGGGCUGCAGCCCGUCCUGCCUUCUCAUGUUACACACAGUCUGUCUGCCUGAGAGGAGCUUGGACUGAGGAAAACAACAGAUCUGGACGGGACCUCUAACGCGCCAUCUAUUCUUUUUAAAAGUCUAUAUAAUUUUGUUGCAAAGCCGAUCCAUAAUCACGCAAACUUUAAACUCCAGACGUGGCUGCUGAGCUACUCGUCCCAUCAGGCUCUGCUCCCCUUGAGACAUUAAACGCAUAGUUCAAUUCUCUCCUCACUGACAGCAUAAAACAACAAGCCCACUAUUCAUUUGUGAAUGUAUCUGCACAUUCCUUAUUUCCCCUUCUCUUUCUUUUGCUCUCUCUUUCUAAACACUGACAUUUUCUCAUACAAGCCUUUCCCAAUUACCUCGCCGUGCUUUUAAUUUAAUAGAACAGAAAAAUCAUUCCAGCAUUUUGCUCCGACACCAGCGUGAUGGGACCGAACAUGUUGGAACUCGGUGCAAAAUAUUAUCUGUAAAGUGAGGCAUGACGACCCACUUACACUUUGCAGGAGUGUGUACAAAGCCUAUUCAGAGACAGUGCCGGUUGGGUUUUAUUAUAAAAAUGGAAAACCUCAAAUGAGCAGAUUCAUAAACAAAUCAAAUACUACAAUUUCUAACAGAUGUGUGUAAUUAACUUUGAAGUCAGACUGGAGUACAGGGGACGUGAUAUUUAGGUUUUGAUGGGUAUAUCUGGAUGUAUACGGCCAAAAGCGAGAGCUGUGUAUCAUGGCAAAAUAUUGAUUUUGCAGUGUCCUGAGAAAGACAGACGAACACUCACUCACUCACUCACUCACUCACUCCCCCUCCUACCUCUUUAUUCCAUUAAUCUCUCGGAGUGGUGUAAGAUACUGGAGGGUUAGUGUAACAUUGUGCAGCUCUAAUAUAUUCCAGCCCUCACUUUGCCUGUGGCAUCCAUAUGUUUAAUUCCACUACAAAUGUUUCAACAGCAAAUGAAACUUGUUUCUUUCUCCCUUUUUUCAACAUUAGGUUGGAGUUUUGUGGAAUAUAUAUAUAUAUACACACAUAUAUGCAUCUAGAGGGGGCUUCUUUUGAGUGUGUGUGCAUUUCAAAAAGGAGCUUUAUUUAAUUGGUUGUGGACCACCUGGAGUUUCAACAUUUCCCCUGGCUGAUUUCAGAUCAACUAUAUUUGAUGUCUAUAGCUAAAGAAAAGACGGAUGAAAUUUGCCAUUUGCAUUGCUAAACUGAUAUUAUGUUGCAUAAAAACAUGCUACUUAUUUCUGUUUUAAAUUUUAAAAAAAUAUGUUCAACACCAUGCUUUUAAAUAAAGAUUUUAAAUGGAAA